ensembl:snoRNA
AUCAUUUUGUGGGUCAUAAGCACGAUGAGUGGGUGUUCACACACAUGCAUGAAAUGUGCCUCCCUCAAAACUUGUAACAACAUUAGCACAUUACUAUUCUGAGA